rnacentral:rRNA from 1 species
AUUGAACGCUGGCGGAAUGCUUUACACAUGCAAGUCGAACGGUAGAGGGGGCAACCCCUCGAGAGUGGCGAACGGGUGAGUAAUAUAUCGGAACGUGCCCAGUCGUGGGGGAUAACGUAGCGAAAGUUACGCUAAUACCGCAUACGAUCUAAGGAUGAAAGCGGGGGAUCGCAAGACCUCGCACGCUUGGAGCGGCCGAUAUCAGAUUAGGUAGUUGGUGGGGUAAAGGCUCACCAAGCCAACGAUCUGUAGCUGGUCUGAGAGGACGACCAGCCACACUGGAACUGAGACACGGUCCAGACUCCUACGGGAGGCAGCAGUGGGGAAUUUUGGACAAUGGACGCAAGUCUGAUCCAGCCAUUCCGCGUGCAGGAUGAAGGCCCUCGGAUUGUAAACUGCUUUUGUACGGAACGAAAAGGUCUCUCUUAAUACGGGGGGCUCAUAACGGUACCGUAAGAAUAAGCACCGGCUAACUACGUGCCAGCCGCCGCGGUAA